AGGUGUGAUCAUACAAGCAUUAAUGCACCGGAUCCCAUCAGAACUCCGUAGUUAAGCGUGCUUGGGUGAGAGUACUACCAGGAUGGGUGACCUCUUGAGAAGUCAUCGUGUUGCACCUC